AUUUAUAUAGUUUACAUAAAAACAUUAUAUUUUCAUUAUAAAAAUAUGUUUAAUAAUUUAUCAUUAUAAAUA
rnacentral:tRNA from 1 species